UCAGAUGAAAGGUGAGAAGGAACUUGUUGAGAAGAUACUUCAAACUGAAAUCAAAAUAUUCAACGCACUUCGUGAUGGGAGUGCCCUUAUGCAGCACAUGGAAGAUUUCUAUUACAUCACACUGUUAGAGAGUGUGAAAUUAUAUUACAAGAAUGUUGAAGAUCCGGACGUUAUCGAAAAUGCUGCUACUCAAUCAGUGAGAGAGGCCUGAGACCAUGAGAGCAUGUAAUGGCUCACUUCAGCUAUAUAGUAUUCACUCUGUAUACCAUUUACACGAGACAAGAAUCAACUGGGUCGCAUUAUUAUAUUCUCACUGGACCACGAAGGAAAGGAAUAUUGUGUACCAAAAUGUAAUUAUGUUUUAGUGACCUGUGGUUCAGUCCUGUAAAGUUAAACAUAGACAUGAAAGGGGACAAGAAAGCUUGGAAGAUAUCAAAAAAUUUGAAAUUGUAUAGAUGUCAAUGAUCUCUUUUGGUAUUUACUUUUUUCUCAGGGUUCAGAACUGCUCCUUGAACUAAGUUAUGGAUCUGGAAUUUGAAUAUGGUACUUUUCAGUGCAUGCUCAGGGAAACAAUGCAGAGAAUGUUCUUUGUGGCUUACAGGGAUCGCAACCACCUCGGCUCUCGACCGGCUUAGUUUCAGCAUGACCUGCAUCUGUGGACUUUACUAAAGAGCAGUUGCGGGAGAAGCAGGUUUCUGGUAGCAGAUGACGGUGCCUUCUUGUUCUUCCCGCUGCUACUGCCAAGGAUACGCAGACUCUGUCUCAAGAGGACUCAUUUUUUCAUUCAAUGAAGCGAAAUGAUUAUUUAGUUGGUGAAGAAAGCUCAACAUUGCGGCAUUGCAGACAGGUUAUUUAUAUAAUGGUGGCCAAAAGCAUCUUCACUUAUCCUAACACACUACAGUAAAAAUUUCGAAUGUCUUAUAACAAAAACUAAUAACACUUAAGAAGACUUCAUGGUAAUUAUUCUUCUUUGUC